CUCCAUAAGGUCUUUUCAUUAGGUUUUUUUUCUCUCUUUCUAUCUACCACUCUUUGCUGUAUCUCCAUCUCACUCCUCUUUUGAAAACUGGGCCAGCUUCCAUCUUCAUCUUCUAUCUUCAACCUCUGCAUGGCUCGUCCGAUGGAAAAAAUUGUUGACAUCAACGACACCAGGGAGUUGUGGAAAGUGGCGGUGAGAGUUUCCCAUAAUUGGAAGGUAGUAUCCAACAACAAGGAGCACUUUGAGACGAUCUUCCAAGACAGAGAGAUGUAGAAGAUUUUUUUGAAAGAAAAAAAGAAAGAGAGAUUUACAAACGAAUCUGGAAAGUUAGGGUUUCGAUGAAAGUUAGGGUUUUGAUUCUGGAUGUGCUUCAGAUGAAGAGGACAUGAGUUUUCUUGUCGCCGCAUUCUCUCCCUGACUUCAGGCUGAAUAUUUUUAUCAGUUCACAUAUUCUAGCUUCAAGGAACAUUUAUUUGUGUAAAUAUUGAGAAAUGUCGUGCCUGGCGGAAGAAAAGAAAUAGAUACAGUUACCGUUUUGGAUAAAGCUGUACUCUGGCAGAUAAAAAUGAAACGCUUUGUGGUGAAGUGAAAUGGACGGGAAACCUCGCGAUGUGGGAUAAAUCACAGUUUGAAAGGUUUAUAAAGAAUACGCACCAGGGAUAUCCUACAGAAACAUUAGGGCGGUUUCUCAAAGGUAGGGACGGGAAUGUUGCCAAAGCUCAUAAAAUGGUUGAGAAGGCACACGAUGGAGACAAGUGGAUUUGAUUUGUUGAAACUCAUGAAAUAUUAUUAGAUCUGUUUGUAGGAAAGAGUGGGAAAAUAUGGAAAACCAGGUGGUGGAAGCGAACCUGAGAACAUUAGCUUACCAGAAGAUGAUACAUCUGCCAUGAAAUAUGUAAGCCUCUUUUUUGUUUCGUUCAUAGAAUGGAGUAACGAGUAAUUAUCCUACUUUUCACUUUGGAUGGUGUUUUUGUUGACGUUAAAACAGUCGUGGCCAUUACCAUUCGAGUUGGUUUCGGUACAUAUCAAAGUCAUUACAUGUUAUUGAGUUUUAAUUUCUCGUGAUAUGUUGCUGAUAAAUCCAAGACAGCCGGCACCCAAACUAUUCAACAAAGGUUUACGCUAUGCACCAGAAAAAUGUGUUUCUUUCAUAAUCAAGGAAUUAUGAUGAUAUGGGCAUUGCAUAGAGGACAAAGAAGAAUCCUUUUUCACAACAUUUAUGUAGAUAUGGAAAGACCUUGACAGCACAAACAGUGGUCUCCAGCUUGAUAUACUACAGAUUUGAAAUCGGCAACUUAAAUUUUCUUCCAAAUUAUAAUUCUUUGAACUAAAAAUUAGUUAUACUGUUUGUAUUUCUAUUUUCUAAUUAAGUGAUUGCUUUCUAUCUUUGUACAGGGAAGAUGCUACCCAUAUAUUCCUACAACAAGAAUAUGUUGAUGAAGAAAUGUUGAUUCCUAAAAAUACCUCGGUGUUUAUUAGACGGGUUCCAGGGCGGUCAGGAUUACCAAUUGUUAGUGAACUACAGUACUUUCUCAAACCUUUGUAGACAAGAGGUGAAAUAUAAGGUGGUGGAAGCUGAACCUGAGAACAUUAGCUUAUCGGCAGAUGAUACAUCUGCCAUUACAAAGUUAAGAUCAGUUUCGGUCGUUGUUGUCUCGGGUGAAACUGGUUGUGGUUAGACUACACAACAUCCUCAUGAGUGUACAUGGUCUGGAGUCAGGAUGUUAUUUUUGGACUCGAUGUCAAUCGGGAAGGAAGAGAAGUGGCUUGGGCGUGGUUUAAGGACUAAAACCAAAGAGCAUGCUUAUUUCAGGGAGUAAAUCAGAAUUAUCUUACUUAUUUUGCAACAAAAGAAGCUAUGUUGUUGUGUUAGUUAAGGCAAAUUGUGUGUCUGGAAAGAGUCUUGGAGUUAGCUGAGACGAAUAAGGUAUGUACUAGAUGAUGUCAAGUAGUAGGGAUACUCAUUAGUGUUAUAAUUGCAUGAAGUCGGUCCCCCACCUGCAUCGCGGUCCUCCAUAGUCGCAAUUCCUAUUGUCAAGAUUGCGUCGAAGCAUCUUCGGUAGGUCCAUCGUGUCCGGUAUGCAAAGAUGACAUUGAGCUGGGGACUGAUGCAAAACAAAUGUCGUCUAGGCAUAUGCAUGUUUUUAAUACCAUUGGUCAUGAUAUAUUGAAUUUGGUUGGGUUUGUUAAUAUAUUAUUACUUGUGAUGAAGUUCAUCUUUGAAGUGAAGUUGGAAAAGAAUAUACUUUGCAUUUCCUCUUGAUUAUGCUUUCCACAAGUCAGGAGGCUGCAAAUACUUUAGUUCCCCUUAUACAGUGGUGCAAUCUGUUUUUUUCUUCUUCUAGCGAAUG